CCAGUGCUCAUCCCUCACAAGGAAUAGCUUCAGUCUGCUUUAAACACUGGGCCACACCCCAAAUCUCUACACGUCCUCUCGGUGUUUACCUGGAGACCCAAAGCUAUGAUGAUGAUUGACACCGUGUUUCCUGGCUGGGAGGUCCGUGGUUGCCCUGUCCCCAUGUGUAAGGAUCAAGGGAAGUGAUAACCUUCAUCCAGUACUAACGGAAGCAGAUGCAGAGAUCCACAGCUAAGCACUUUGUGGAGCUCCCGGAGUCCAGUUGAAGCAAAGGAGGAGAGAUUAUAUGAGCAAAGGGGACAAGAUCAUGAUGGGGAAUCCCACAGAGACCUGAGCUAAUGGGAGCUCACUGACUCUGGACUGACAA